rnacentral:rRNA from 1 species
ACUACGGGAGGCAGCAGUGGGGAAUAUUGCACAAUGGGGGAAACCCUGAUGCAGCGACGCCGCGUGAGUGAAGAAGUAUUUCGGUAUGUAAAGCUCUAUCAGCAGGGAAGAAAAUGACGGUACCUGAUUAAGAAGCCCCGGCUCACUACGUGCCAGCAGCCGCGGUACUCCGUAGGGGGCAAGCGUUAUCCGGAUUUCCUGGGUGUAAAGGGAGCGUAUACGGCAGCACAAGUCUGGAGUGAAAUGCCGGGGCUUAACCCCGGAACUGCUGUGGAAACUGUGCAGCUAGAGUGCAGGAGAGGUAAGUGGAAUUCCUAGUGUAGCGGUGAAAUGCGUAGAUAUUAGGAGGAACACCAGUGGCGAAGGCGGCUUACUGGCCUGUAACUGACGUUGAGGCUCGAAAGCGUGGGGAGCAAACAGGAUUAGAUACCCGGGUAGUC